rnacentral:misc_RNA from 1 species
AACCUUAUGGACCUGCGGGCGUAUACCUGCGGAAGGAUCAUUAAAAAUUUAAUUAUCCCGUUAAAUUAAAUAUGGGUAACAAAUCCAUAUUCAUUUCAUGUGCAUCUAUCGAUUGUAUACUUUGACAGAUUUUUUCUUUCUUGAUUUUCAUUUUCGGAAAGAUGGAGAUCGAAUCUCUCGGGGUCUGUCAAGGUUUUCUGUUUUUCUUUCUUCUAAAUUCCUUAAAUUCCGAAAAAAUUU